CCGGGGGUCAGGAGGUUUUCCCGCCCGUCCAGGGUGCGGCUGUGGGCAGCUCUGCGGGGCUUCGGCUCCGCCCGCGGCCCUGAGGAGAUGUUUACUCUUCAGUUAAUGCUACCUUACAGUGACUAUCCUACUGACCUUCAUCUGGUUCAAGCAACUGGAGUAUUAAACUAUAACAACUGCAGAAAGGAUUGGAGCAAGAAAAUGUGAGCUAUUCCUCCCCCACUUUCCUGCCAGAAAGUAACUCUUGCUCUUACUCUGUGCUAUGGAACCAGUACAGCAGGAGGUUCUGAGGGCUGGGGGUCAGGAGAAGGAAGAUGUCUCUUGGAUCAGUUCUCACUUCCCCUGCUGUGAGG